GACGAACGCUGGCGGCAAGCUUAACACAUGCAAGUCGAACGCCGUAGCAAUACGGAGUGGCCGAAGGGUGAGUAACACGUGGGGACGUGCCUUUCUGUUUGGAAUAACCGAGGGAAACUUCAGCUAAAACCGGAUACGCCCUUCGGGGGAAAGGUUACGCAGAAAGAUCGGCCCGCGUCAGAUUAGGUAGCUGGCGGGGUAAUGGACCACCAAGGCGAUGAUCUGUAUCUGUUCUGAGAGGAAGAUCAGCCACCCUGGGACUGAGACACGGCCCAGACUCCUACGGUAGGCAGCAGUGGGGAAUAUUGGACAAUGGUCGCAAGCCUGAUCCAGCAAUGCCGCGUGGAUGAAGAAGGCCUUCGGGUUGUAAAGUCCUUUCGGCGGGGAAGAUAAUGACGGUACCCGCAGAAGAAGCCCCGGCUAAUUUCGUGCCAGCAGCCGCGGUAACAC
rnacentral:rRNA from 1 species